rnacentral:rRNA from 1 species
GGCGGAUGGGUGAGUAAUGCCUAGGGAUCUGCCCAGUCGAGGGGGAUAACAGUUGGAAACGACUGCUAAUACCGCAUACGCCCUACGGGGGAAAGAGGGGGACCUUCGGGCCUCCCGCGAUUGGAUGAACCUAGGUGGGAUUAGCUAGUUGGUGAGGUAAUGGCUCACCAAGGCGACGAUCCCUAGCUGUUCUGAGAGGAUGAUCAGCCACACUGGGACUGAGACACGGCCCAGACUCCUACGGGAGGCAGCAGUGGGGAAUAUUGCACAAUGGGGGAAACCCUGAUGCACCCAUGCCGCGUGUGUGAACAAGGCCUUCGGGUUGUAAAGCACUUUCAGUAGGGAGGAAAGGGUGAGUCUUAAUACGGCUCAUCUGUGACGUUACCUACAGAAGAAGGACCGGCUAACUCCGUGCCAGCAGCCGCGGUAAUACCGAGGGUCCGAGCGUUAAUCGGAAUUACUGGGCGUAAAGCGUGCGCAGGCGGUUUGUUAAGCGAGAUGUGAAAGCCCUGGGCUCAACCUAGGCAAUAGCCUUUCGAACUGGCGAACUAGAGUCUUGUAGAGGGGGGUAGAAUUCCCGGUGUAGCGGUGAAAUGCGUAGAGAUCUGGAGGAGUACCGGUGGCGAACGCGGCCCCCUGGUACAAAGACUGACGCUCAUGCACGAAGGCGUGGGGAGACAAACAGGAUUAGAUACCCUGGUACUCCACGCCGUAAACGAUGUCUACUCGGAGUUUGGUUGUCUUGAACACUGGGCUCUCAAGCUAACGCAUUACGUAGACCGCCUGGGGAGUACGGGCCGCAGGGUUAGAACUCAAAUGAAUUGACGGGGGCCCGCACAAGCGGUGGAGCAUGUGGUUUAAUUAGAUGCAACGCGAAGAACCUUACCUACUCUUGACAUCCACAGAAGAGAAGCAGAGAUGCGGUUGUGCCUUCGGGAACUGUGAGACAGGUGCUGCAUGGCUGUCGUCAGCUUGUGUUGUGAAAUGUUGGGUUAAGUCCCGCAACGAGCGCAACCCCUAUCCUUAUUUGCCAGCACGUAAUGGUGGGAACUCUAGGGAGACUGCCGGUGAUAAACCGGAGGAAGGUGGGGACGACGUCAAGUCAUCAUGGCCCUUACGAGUAGGGCUACACACUUGUUACAAUGGCGAGUACAGAGGGUUGCAAAGCCGCGAGGUGGAGCUAAUCUCACAAAGCUCGUCGUAGUCCGGAUUGGAGUCUGCAACUCGACUCCAUGAAGUGGGAAUCGCUGGUAAUCGUGGAUCAGAAUGCCACGGUGAAUACGUUCCCGGUCCUUGUACACACCGCCCGUCACA